rnacentral:rRNA from 1 species
AUACGUAGGGAGCGAGCGUUGUCCGGAAUUACUGGGUGUAAAGGGAGCGUAGGCGGGGGUGCAAGUCAGAUGUGAAAUGCAUGGGCUCAACCCAUGGGCUGCAUUUGAAACUGCAUUUCUUGAGUGAAGUAGAGGUAAGCGGAAUUCCUGGUGUAGCGGUGAAAUGCGUAGAUAUCAGGAGGAACACCAGAGGCGAAGGCGGCUUACUGGACUGUAACUGACGUUGAGGCUCGAAGGCGUGGGGAGCAAACAGGAUUAGAUACCCUGGUAGUCCACGCGGUAAACGAUGAUCACUAGGUGUCGGCGGCCAUAGGCGGUCGGUGCCGCAGCAAACGCAAUAAGUGAUCCACCUGGGGAGUACGUUCGCAAGAAUGAAACUCAAAGGAAUUGACGGGG